GAGGGUAUAGCUCAGUGGUAGGGCAUAUGCUUAGCAUGCAUGAGGUUCUGGGUUCAAUCCCCAGUCCCUCCA
rnacentral:tRNA from 1 species